rnacentral:rRNA from 1 species
UUUCCUACGGGACGCAGCAGUGGGGAAUAUUGCACAAUGGGGGGAACCCUGAUGCAGCGACGCCGCGUGAGUGAAGAAGUAUUUCGGUAUGUAAAGCUCUAUCAGCAGGGAAGAAGAUGACGGUACCUGACUAAGAAGCCCCGGCUAACUACGUGCCAGCAGCCGCGGUAAUACGUAGGGGGCAAGCGUUAUCCGGAUUUACUGGGUGUAAAGGGAGCGCAGGCGGUGCGGCAAGUCUGAUGUGAAAGCCCGGGGCUCAACCCCGGGACUGCAUUGGAAACUACCGAACUAG